AGUCCUCCAGCACAACAACCUGCUGGCGGUGAAGAGGCGCUCGCUGGGGGGGCUGCUCCUGCUGAGGCACCUGGAUUUAUCUUACAACAAAAUCCAGUUGAUCGAGGCGUGUGCUUUGGAGAACCUUCCUUUCCUGGAGACCAUAAGCCUGGAGGGAAAUCUCAUCACCCAGAUCCGGAGCGACACCUUCCGGGCAUGGCACGGGAUGCAGUUCCUCCAGACGCUGGUCCUGAGUCGUAACCCCCUGUCUGUUAUCGAGGACACAUGGUUCUUCAAGCUGCCUUCAGUCACUCACCUGGACCUGGGUGCCACACGAGUGACUCGGCAGACGCUGCUCAUGCUGCUCCUGAGAACAUCCCGUUUGGAAACACUGUGAGUGUGC